rnacentral:tRNA from 1 species
GAUGGAUAUACCGUAAGUGGUAGCGGGACAGUCUGUAAAACUGUUGCCUUCGGGUUCGGGUGGUUCGACUCCAUCUCCAUCG